GCAGAUUCUCUAAGCCCAAUAUGUUGAAUUUGAUCAUUGGGAAUUGAUUAGAAAAAUCAUGGCCAGCCAAAGUGUCCCCUCCUGUCAUGCCUGUAAUGAAAAUAACAAAUGUUCGAGUGGGGGGAGUCAUCGAUACUCCAGAAAUCACAAACUCUGUUCGCAACAAUCCCAGCACAAUAGCAUGCUUCUUCGCCACAUCACAGUAGCCUAUUAAUCCUCCAGGAUUAAUUUCAAACUUCUGGCCAAGGGCUUUUGCAUGAACCAUUGCCAAUGGAUGAGUCGUGGGCAUUCGACUUUUAAUAAUAAAAUCGGAUAAACAGGCAGCUGUGCGUACAAUAGUCAGGGAGUGGCGAACUCCAUGAAUGACGAACACUUACAUUUAAU